CUUUGCCUCGUGGCAUCUGCUACAAAAUAAAGACACGGCUUGUGGUCCGUGGCUCUGUCUCUCCAGGAGGAGGCAGCGUCCCAUCGAGACCCAGCUUUCAUCCUCUUGUCUGUCUUUUCUGAGCCUUUCACCGCCCCCACUCAGGGUUACUGAACCUGGCAGAGCUGGCAUGGGUAUGCCAU